GAUCCCUCUCCUCCUCCCCUUUCGCGAACCCGAGCUUUCCUCUUACCCUCCCUCAUGCGCCGACUCUUCCCUUCUUCCGAUCUCACCGUAGCGCCCCAUGCCGCCGCCGCCCGAGCCUUCGUUCCCUGUUCCUCUUUUCCGAGCUCCGCCGAUCCUUUUCUUCUUCAUCGAGCUCGCACCACCGCUUCUUCUACUCUUCUGUUUUCUUCCUCCGAUCGCCGAGAAGAGCCACCUUCUCCUUCCCCUAGCACCGAGCGCAUGGCACUAUCCGAGGCAAAGUCGUCGGUUUCCAACCUCUCGAUCAAGGUGAAGAUCCAAGCAGAGGUUCGCUGGUUUUGGUUACUGGCGAACCUUCCUCCUCUUCUCCUCUUCCGAGUUCUCCUUGCUCCCGACGCCACUUCCUCUCGCCACAACCGAUUGCCAGCCAAAUCACAUCGGCUGUUUUCUCUCUGCCCUAGCGCCGACCAAGUUUUUUCUUCCCCUUUUCUCUUCCGUCGCGACAUCGCCGCUAACGUCGAUUCUUCUCUCGACCUCUUCUUUGCGUCACCCAUAGUCGACGCCGUCGCACGAAGCAGCGCUGAUGACGAGGACUUUCCUCUUCCCCUCUGCCUUAGCAUCAGCAUCCCAAGAUUUCUUCCAAACGAUUGCUUCGCCCGAGCCCUAGUUUUCCAGACGCUAUUUUCUUCUUCUGUCGACUUUGCCCCAAUGCCUACUGCUUGAUGCCAUAAUCUAGCAGCCACCUCCCUUGCCAUAGCGUCGAUCCACAUCUCAUAGUAGGGACAAGAAGGCAGUGGCUUCACUUGGUCUCGACUACCGUCUCCGGCAGUGAGUUGCUUCCACUGUGAGUAGUGCAUUGGAUUUGGAGGACUUUGAUUAGAGGUGAGCGUCUCAACAUGGGAUUUAUUUGAUACAAUCUUCUUUUGAGAUACUAGGUAGAUACUUUUGGAGUCGCUUGGAGUAUCCUGUCUGCCGGUUUCCACGUCACAUCCGAAGACCUGUUUCGGGUUUUCAUUUGCUCUUUAUUUGGACUAUGUCUUUGGUUUACUUAGAAAUGUAAAAUUUCAGUUUUGGUUCUGGAGUGUUGUGAUGUGGUGUUUUGUAUUGUUUGUUGUGUUGUGUAAGCCUAGCCGGCUAGCAAUCCUUGUUUUUGGUCUGUGAUGGUUUCUAUCGUAUUUCCGCUGUGUUUUUUCUUUUUAAUACAACCGA